rnacentral:rRNA from 1 species
UACGAAGGGGGCUAGCGUUGCUCGGAAUCACUGGGCGUAAAGCGCACGUAGUCGGCUUUGCAAGUCGGUUGUGAAAUCCCCGGGCUCAACCUGGGAACUGCAUCCGAGACUGCAUUGCUAGAGUAUGGGAGAGGGAAGCGGAAUUUCUGGUGUAGCAGUGAAAUGCGUAGAUAUCAGAAGGAACAUCAGUGGCGAAGGCGGCUUCCUGGACCAAUACUGACGAUCAGGUGCGAAAGCGUGGGGAGCAAACAGG